CAGCCGCCACGGGAAUACGGAGGGUGCAAGCGUUAAUCGGAAUUACUGGGCGUAAAGCGCACGCAGGCGGUCUGUCAAGUCAGAUGUGAAAUCCCCGGGCUUAACCUGGGAACUGCAUUUGAAACUGGCAGACUGGAGUCUUGUAGAGGGGGGUAGAAUUCCAGGUGUAGCGGUGAAAUGCGUAGAGAUCUGGAGGAAUACCGGUGGCGAAGGCGGCCCCCUGGACAAAGACUGACGCUCAGGUGCGAAAGCGUGGGGAGCAAACAGGAUUAGAGACCCCUGUAGUCCCUGUCUCUUAUAC
rnacentral:rRNA from 1 species